GACGAACGCUGGCGGCGUGCUUAACACAUGCAAGUCGAACGGUGACCUCGAGAGCUUGCUCUUGGGUGAACAGUGGCGAACGGGUGAGUAACACGUGAGUAACCUGCCCCUGACUCUAGAAUAAGCGCUGGAAACGGCGUCUAAUACCGGAUAUGACACACCCUCGCAUGGGGAGUGUGUGGAAAGUUUUUCGGUCUGGGAUGGACUCGCGGCCUAUCAGCUUGUUGGUGAGGUAAUGGCUCACCAAGGCGAUGACGGGUAGCCGGCCUGAGAGGGCGACCGGCCACACUGGGACUGAGACACGGCCCAGACUCCUACGGGAGGCAGCAGUGGGGAAUAUUGCACAAUGGGCGAAAGCCUGAUGCAGCGACGCCGCGUGAGGGAUGACGGCCUUCGGGUUGUAAACCUCUUUCAGCAGGGAAGAAGCGCAAGUAACGGUACCUGCAGAAGAAGCACCGGCUAACUACGUGCCAGCCGCCGCGGUAACAC
rnacentral:rRNA from 1 species